rnacentral:tRNA from 1 species
CGGGAAGUAGCUCAGCUUGGUAGAGCACUUGGUUUGGGACCAAGGGGUCGCAGGUUCCAAUCCUGUCUUCCCGA